GGUAAUUACAAUGGUGACGCAAAGGAUGACAAUCUAAAGCCGAACGGCAGCACGGCAGGAGAUUCCACUGAGCUUGGAGAGAGCUGGCUAGUGGCAGAGAAUAACAGCAUAUGCUCCCCUCAGCCAGUACCGGACUGUGACCCCCUGCUGGAGAGUGAAGCGAGGAAGAACACAGCCUGUGGCAUGAUCACCGACCCGACAGGUAUCUUCAAGGACUGCCACGUCAAAGUACCUCCAGAGAAUUUCUUGGAAAACUGUGUUUACGACAUGUGUCAGACUGAGGGACAGACAGUGUCCUUAUGUAAUGGGCUGCAGGCUUAUGCUGAAUCGUGCACAAAUGCUGGGAUCUGCAGAGAAUGGAGAAAUAAUACUUUGUGCCGUGAGUGUUGUCGUUUAUAACUAUUAAUUUCUCAAAUUCAACUUUUGUUUAAUGCAAGAAGC
rnacentral:lncRNA from 1 species